UGUGUGCACACAUAGCUUGUUUUAAUUGCAACACAGUGCAUCUGCUGUGUAGUUAAAGUAGGAACCUGUACUAGUUUGCAAGGUUUUCAUCAAAGAAGCACCUUUAAAACUGCUAAUCAACCAUAGAAUUGAGUUGGAAGGGACCUCUAAAGGUCAUCUGGUCAAACACCUCUGCAAUAAAGAGAGACACCUACAGACCCACCAGGGGCUUAGAGUCCUCCAGCCUGUCCUUGAGUGUCCCCAGGGAUGAGGCAUCCACCACCUCUUGAGCAAGAAAGAUAGAUGAUAUCCUUCUGAGCCUUCUCCUCAUCAAACAAAUCCAGCUCUCUCUUACAUCAUAUACUUCAGCCCUUGACUACUUUAGCAGCCUUCCAUUGGACUCUUGUGCUAAGUCAUCCCAUACUCAUUGUCAGUAUUUGAAAUGCAGACUCAGACAUGCCAGCAAAAGGGAAAGAUCAGCUCCCUCGCCCUGCUGGGUCUCCAGCCAGCUGUGGUCUCAGCAAGGUAAGAGCACUGCAGAGCAACCUUAGGCCUACAUUAACAGUUUGUUUUGGCUUGACACUAAUAAAGGAAACCAAGAUUUUUCUGUAA